CUCGCUCCUGCUCUCUCUCUCUCUCCUGCUCUCUCUCUCUCUCCUGCUCUCUCUCGCUCCUGCUCUCUCUCUUUCUAUGCUGUAGCCAACUCAGAUUCCUCUCUCUUUAUGGCUCUCUUUCCCCUUCUCUUUGGGGAAACCUCCACAAAGGACAAGUUAUUGUGCCUGACCAGUUUUUACAAUUUUAAAUCAUUUUCUUUUCUUAAAAAAAAGAGGACAAAAAACUCUAGUGCCGCAAAAUGUUUUAAUAUUUUUGUACCACAUAUUGUGUUGAUACGUAUUUAUAAGCUAUAAAGAAAAGAAUCAUUGUAAAUGUAUCCAUUAAAUUCUUGCAGUACUUUCUUUCAUUCCAUCUUUUAGUAUAUGGCUCAAUCUAUUUUUCUACAAUGUUUCAGUCAGUCCAAAUGUAUGGAGACAAUCUUAAUCAGUCAAAACAAAGAACAUAGCCUUGUCUUCAUAUUCAAUGCUACAGUAGGUAUGUGUUUGUCACUGUUCACAGAUCAGUCUGCCUGUCUGUAGGUCAAUCAUAUGAAGUGACUGGUCUGAAUCUGUACAAUCUGAAGCAGUUUACCUUUCAACUAAUGUGAACAAAUUCUGCCUUGCCUGAGUCAAUGCAGGAAUGAGGGGUCCCAAGGGACAUCUCAUUGGACGGCCUGUCUGCAUGUUAUAACCCUCAGCCACCGACUGAAGUGUCACAAAUCCUUUUGUCUGCUUUUUGUGCUGUCUUGCAUCUGUUUUGCAUCUGUCUGUUUCCAGGCAUUUACAAGUAUCUGUCAGGGGAAAGGGAUUGGGUUGUUGUUCCUCUUGUCCAAUCAGAUCUUUGGGACACCAGCAUGACGUGGAUGAUGAUGAUAUUGUGUUAACUGGAUUCAUCCUACUCUCAGCCUUCACACAUACCUCUGAGUCUGUCUCCUGUUGUCCAAUGGGCUAGCUAAUAUCCCAUGGAAACUGGAAAGAAAUAUGACAGGGUCUCAUUUCCUUCAAAUGGUUCUGCCCCGCCCCCCCAGUGUUGUCUGUCUAUAUGUUACCAAGACUACAAUUCUUGUCUGUUCCUCAUCUGAUUCAACCAGCAUCAUUGGGAAAUGUUCUCAUUCUCUCGCUGCACUUUACAGUUCUUCUGAUAGUUGUCGGUACAGAAAACAUGAUACAUGCAGCUCAAAUAAUUAGAGGUGUGUGUGUGCUUCUGUGUGUGCGUGUGUGUCUGUGUGUAAAUGAAUGAUUCAACGAGAGACACCGUGAAUGACUUGAGGUCAGUGCUGGUUAAUACAUCUGGAUAUAAUGUGGCAGGGUGGUUCUAGGACGUCACGUGCCAUAGGUCAAAGGUUACUAAUGUAAGAAGACUUGUUAGUCUGUCUCAGCCUGUUACUUUGGUAACAAUACGAGGACAUCGGUACUCUUGGCUAAAUCAGUGGUUUCUGAUGUUAGUUUUUACAAAAUGGCUGUUGACUUGAAGCCUGGUGAGAGAAGGCACUGUUGUGGGUUUAUCUGAGGCCUGGUGAGAGGUUCUGUUGAGGUUCCAUGUGAGGCCUGGUGAGAGGUUCUGUUGAGGUUCCAUGUGAGGCCUGGUGAAAGGAAGAUUUUGGUUAGAAGGUUUGAGGAAGUUGUUGACUGACCACCAGAUGUUUUUGUCGUUGAAAACACUAAAAGCUGCAUCCUAAAUGGAGCCUUGUUCCCUUCACAGUUCACUGUCUAGGGGAUAGGGGGCCGAUUGGAACGGAGCCAAAGGGUAAAUAAAUCAUAAAAAGCACUUUUGUCUACCUGUUUUUGGAGUAAUUUUUAUUGUCAUGUUGAAGAAUUUGUCGUUCAUCCAUUCUGAUCCCAUGGUGCUUUGCAAGGAUGUAUACAGUGCAACCAACAUUUGGUUAGUCAUGAAUAUUCAUUUAAUUUUCACUAAAUUCCACUUUUUGUACAUUGAUCUGCUUUCCAUGUAAACUGGUGUGUAAUGGACAUGUACAGCCCAUUCAAUACUAUAAGCUGUUGUAACAAAUAAAAUGUUGAUUUUUUUAAUAAAAUGAGUGAACUUUUAUCUUGAA